rnacentral:rRNA from 1 species
UACGUAGGGUGCGAGCGUUGUCCGGAAUUACUGGGCGUAAAGAGCUCGUAGGUGGUUUGUCGCGUUGUUCGUGAAAACUCACAGCUCAACUGUGGGCGUGCGGGCGAUACGGGCAGACUGGAGUACUGCAGGGGAGACUGGAAUUCCUGGUGUAGCGGUGGAAAUGCGCAGAUAUCAGGAGGAACACCGAUGGCGAAGGCAGGUCUCUGGGCCACUACUGACGCUGAGAAGCGAAAGCAUGGGGGAGCGAACAGG